GCACCCCCAUUAGAGAGUUCAAGAACUCUGAGUCCAUUGGUGUUCCAUUCCCAAAGAACCAGCCCAUGAGGAUAUACUCCAGUCUCUGGAAUGCAGAUGACUGGGCAACAAGAGGUGGUCUUGUGAAGACAGACUGGAGCCAAGCACCUUUCACAGCCUCCUACAGGAACUUCAAUGCCAAUGCUUGUGUUUGGUCCUCUGGAUCAUCUUCUUGCAGUUCAACCUCUCCAUCUUCUACAUCCACCAAUAGUGGAUGGUACUCACAAGAACUAGAUUCCACAAGCCAAGAGAGAAUGAAAUGGGUGCAGAAGAACUACAUGAUCUACAAUUACUGCACAGACACAAAGAGAUUCCCACAGGGCCUUUCCCCUGAAUGCACUGCCACCACCACAUCCUAGAGGAAACUCAACCUUAAAGGCCAUUCAGUUAGAUAGUUUGCCUCUGUAGGUUUCCUCAGUUCUGUUCUUUCAUUCUUUAUCAUUUUAGUCGGUAUCACCACAGCUCAUUGUUUACAUUGAAAUAUAUGAGAUGAAUAAAAAAUCCUUUUAGCCCUUUUUCUGUUUCUUCUCCUUGUUCUUUAACUUCUGACAGAUACAGAUUGGGCCUUAUACCAAAUUUAAAGAGUAAAUAAUCUUAAUUUCUUUCCACUUUAAUCACAAACAGCAAGAAACUUCAGUUAAGAGUCACCAAAACUAUGUACUGAGUCACACAAGAAGCUCCAUGCAUGAUGAAGGCGGCACACAGACAAAUGUAAAAUCGCCCCCAAAUCCAUGAACCCUAUAAAAUAAUAUUUUUCAAACUAAGAGAAAUUAUUACCUUAAUGGCAUGGUUGAUUUAUUCAUAAAUGAAUAAUUUAUUAAUUUAUUGAUAAAUAAAUAAUUAUCAAUUAAUAAAGAAUAUUAUAUUCGUAUUAUAUAGUUCUUGUACAUAUGACUUAUUAAUCUAAAAAUAAUAGAUAUAAUAAAAAGUUAAUAUAUAGAAACUUAAGAAACCUGAAAAAAUAAAAAAUGGUUAUUAAUUAUAAAAGAUAGCGGGACUCUGAAAAGAAAAAAAUGUAGUAUCAAAACUUAAAAAUUUAUUUGAUAAUAAUUUUAAGUAACACAUUUAAUUUUAAAAGCAUUUUUUUUAAAAAAAGAAAUAAAAAAGACAUUUCACAAGAUUUGGAAAACACUUUUAAAAAUUAAUAAAAAAAGGUUUUCAACAAAAACACUUUUGAAGAGAAACAAUGUCAAAUUCACUUUUAAUUGCUAAAACAUAAAUAUUAUUCAUAAAUUUUUUUAAACUCUUAUAUAUUUCUAAAAUAAUAUUAUUAUCUUUUAUAUUUAAUAAAGUUAUUAAUUUAGUACACAGCUCGAGGCGUUAUCGAGCCUUUACCGUGUCUCCGAUGUUCACAUUGGGUAAGCUCUUCGAUAUGUUGUUGGCUGGCAAGGAGAUGAGCAGGUGACUGGAUCUUGCCAGUGGUGUUCAACUUGCAAUUACAAAUUUACAACUGGCCAUGAUGAUGGCUUGGGCAGGUGCUACUUAUCUUUCUCACCCUGUUUUGGCAUUUAGGAUCUUUAGACUUGGAAAAAAGUGGAUGACAGUGGGUGGUGGAGUGAUGUAUGUAGGAAGCUCUGGUCCAGCACAUUUUUACACUAGAGCCCUCUUUUGAGGUUUGGUUCUGGUAAAAGGAAAAUGAUUUGAAUCAAGUAACCAUCAUCAUCAACUAAUCAUGACAAGUUUUUUUUUUUGAACUGUUUGAUAUAUUGGAAAGGGACAAAACCAGGUUGGGGAAGCAGGUAGACGAGGCAGAAGUAAGAUCUAUGAUACUUCCUGAGUAGUUUUAUAUUGCAAAACCGUGUGGUUCUGAUGAUUUAAAAAGUAUUAGUUGGGAGGAGGAAGCCCAUUUGUAGAUAUGGUUGCCACUGCCAUCUGUAUACAACUUAUUCUUUGGUCUCCCACUUUGAACCUUCCUGCAGCACCCUCUCAAGCUCACUAGAUCUCUCCCACCAAGUAUAAAUUGGAGUUGGAAGAGAUCAAUUUCAAGUCACUAACAUCAAACUUCUUCUCUUCAAACACCUCUUAGCAACUAUAUAGCAUAUCCCUCAAUGGCACCCAUCUAUUCCUCUUGUUCAACUGUGACAACAACCCUGCUCAUCUCUGUAUCUCUACAUUGAUCAUAGGAUAUAUGUAUGAAUUCUGCAUGUUUUAUUGCAGAUAAAUGAGUGGUUAUUCAGAGGGCAGUGCAUUGUAAUGGCAGCCUCCAAAUCAUCUUAGUUCAUUCAAAACAUUGAGCAGUUUAUUAUAACAUCCUUUCUAGUGCAGGAUUACCAGCUAGAGAGAAGAGUUCUUGAUACUGAUAUAUGUAGUACAGCUCUAAUAGAAGUUGUUCUAAACCUUCAAGGUUUAAAUGAAGGUGGCUUCCUAAUCUUAGUUGCUUGCUCGAAGCUAUAUGCAAUCUCGAUCAUAUUGUCACUAGUUUUAUGGGGCAUCCCAGGUUGGUGUAAAAAGUUGACAAAAGCUACCAUGAAAAAAGAUAUUAUUUAUUGUAAUUUUUCUCUUCAUUUUUUAAGUGAUACACCGGGUGAUAGUAUGACAAUUGAAAUGAAUCACAAUAAAUUAUUCAAAUAACAAAAAUUAUUACAUUGUUUGAAUUAAUUUUUAUUUUUAUUAAUAAAAUAAUUAAAUAUUUUAUAUCGAAGUUAUAAAUAUUUUUUAUUUUUAAAAAUAAAAAAAUUAUCUACAUACCAAUAUACAAUUUGUAUGUAUACACAGAAAAAUCAUUAAAACAUUCAUAGAUAAGGAUGAAAAUAUUGGUUUUUACAAAUAUAUUAGUAAUUGGAUUUUAUGAAUAUAUUAAAAAAUAUUGAUGAAAAUUUUAAUAAAAGAUAUCAAUAGGACGAAAUUAAUAAAACCUCAUACAAAAUGUUGAAAAAAAAUUCUAAAAGAUAAUAGAAGAAACAACAGUAAAGUUAUAUAUAUAUAUAUAAUUUUUAUGAUAUCAAGUAAUAUUAUAUAGAACUCGGAAAUAUAUUUAUAGAUGAAUGUAUUCAAAAUAAAAGAGAAUUAUUAUAUAUUAUUUUCAAAUUUAUGUUUCUGUUACUUUCUUAAAGAAAUGUUUUGUUGAUUUUGAGAAUCUCCUUUGAUUUUUAUAGCCGUUUGUGGUUGAUGGCAUAGAGAUCAUAGUAAAUAAUUACAAUUUUCUGACCAUUUUUCUGGCCUAUUGUUUUGUUUCGUGAAAUUGAAAAUUUGGUAAUAAAAACCUUUUUCCAAUUUGUAACACUGAAAACUUGAAGUUGCAAAAAAGGUAAAUUCAUGGAAGUUUGUGAUUGACAUGUGAUGGUUUAAAUUUUAGCCUGUGUGGGCUACAAUGGAAAUUUCAGUGGCUAAAUGUAACUAGUUUCUGCAACAUGUUUUUAACACGCUAGGCAAGAAAAUUUGUUAAUAUUUUUUUUCUCAAUUUUAUUAAUCCAAAUAGUCUAACCAUAGAUGGAGAAUGAACAAUACAAAUAGUGGUGUGUAUCACUGAAUAUAGUUAGAGGGAGGGUUGAAUGAGACUGAUAUCUUUUUUACCAAUCUACUCUAAGAGUUUAAUUUUUGUUUUCCUGAAAUUUUUUUAUUAUUUAACAAAUUGAUAAUCAUCUAAAAUAAAUUGUUAAUUUUAUUUUUCUUCCAUUUUUCCUUUAUUUUAUUUCGUGGUUAACCAAACAAAAGAAAAUGAAUUCCUUUUUUUUUUUCCUUUAAUUUUUCAUGGAUAACCAAAUAAGUGAAAAAAUUUAUAUUUAUUUCCUUAACUUUUUCUUUUUUUCCAUUUUUUCUCCCAUUUUUCUUUCUCUUGCAUUUUCCCGAACCAAACAUAGCCUAAAAAAACAGGUUUUCUCAUAUUUAGUUUUAUCAUAGAAAAAAUAUAUAUAUAUAUAUAAGUUAAAACCUCUUUAGGAACUUCUAUCUUGACCUUACGCUAAACCAGCCCACCAACCUAUCACAGUUGACAAUUGGUUGAGCUCUGGCGGUGAGUGGCUUUUGUCAGAAGCCGAGUAGAUUUCAAUGAAGCUAGCUAGCACCGAUCUUUUGGGCUGUUACUGGGUCCAGCAUGAGCGUAUUUGCUGGGUUGGUGAUGCUUUUUCAGGUACAAGUGGAGAUGGUGGUAGCUGGGCCAGGUGUGUAAUUUGUCCUUGUCUCCCUGUUUGGCCAUUUAGGAUCCUUUUGACUGAGAAAAAGUAGCUGAUACCGACAGGAGUGAUCUCUCCAGGAGCUUCUCUUCUAGGAGAAGGCGGACGCGGCAGACAGAAAGAGUCUUGCAAUCAAUUUCCAGAUUUUUCUAUUCCAAAACCGCGUGAGUAUUGUUGAUGCCUUGCGUUCUAGGAUACACAUAGCUGCCAAGUGGACACGCGCCUUCAAUCAAGAUUGAGUCCUGACUCAGUCGGCCCUGUAAAAGGUAUCCGGAUAGGGUGUCCGGACACACCAUCCGAUGAUUUUGUUAGCCAUGACAUAAGAUGAAGAUACUAAAAGGAAAGCAGCUUUAAAUGUAUCAAGAAUACUGAUGAUGGAGGCCCACUUGUAGACGGCGCUACUGUAUACAGCUCAGUUUCUGCUCUCCAAAUAUGAACUUUCCCAGUAGUAUCAGCAUCAUUAUAACUAAGAGAUUAGAGAGAUUGAUUUCAUUGAUUCAGCAUAACCAAAUUUCUUCACUUUGAACAUUUCUUACCAACCAUACAACAUAGUUUUCAAUGGUAUCUCCAUAUUCUUCUUUAGCUUCAGGCCUGCUGAUCUCUCUACUGGUCAGCUUCUUAAUAGUUGCUUCAACAGGUAACUUGGCAUUACUUAGGGGGAUGGGCGUGCUCAGAUACUCAACAAUCAUCCCUAUUUGAUGUGAGAUAUCAGAUGGCAUUACUUAAAAUGUGUUUACAUGAUUAAGAGGAACUCACACUUUUACAGUAUUAGAAACUUUCUCCCUAUCUGAUGUGGGAUAUCACAAUCAUCCCCAUAAAAACACAACGUCCUUGUUGCAUCACAAGGGAUUACAAGGUCAAACAAACCCUUACAUUGAGGUUAAAGAUCAACUUGAUACCAUUUGUAAGACUCGUUCUUAACUAUGUAGAUUUUAUCCUCUCUAAACCCAAAAUAACCCUCAAUACUUCAAAACGCAUCUACAUAAUUAAGAGAAGUACACAUUUACAUAGCGUCAAGAGUUUAUCUCGUCUACGAUGUAGGAUAUCACAAAGCACCAUUCACUGCCUCCUACAAGAACUACAAUGUCAAUGUUUGUGUUUGGUUCUCUAGAUCAUCUUCUCACAAUUCAACCCCUCCCUUUUCUACUUCCACCAAUGGUGCAUGGUACUCAAGAGCUAAAUUCCACAAGCCAAAAAAGAAUGAAAUGAAGGCAGAAGAAUUACAUGAUCUACAAUUACUGCACGGGCAUAAAGCAAUUCCCACAAGACCAUGCUCCUAAAUGCAUUGCUGCCACCACAUCCUAAAGGAAACUCAACCCUAAUAACAUUCAGUUGACUCUUUCUUUGCUUGUAUCAUCUUGAUAAUUCUAUUCUUUCAUUCUUUAUUGAUAAUAACAACAAUUGAAUCAAGAAAAAAAGUGUGAUAUCUCAUUAAUUGUUUAAGUUAUGAACAGAGGAAUUAUUUAUACAAGGGCAAGCACUAAUUCCAUAGCAAGAUGACAUGUUGGUUGAGUGGUUACAACUGAGUAGUAGCUUGUAUAACAGUUUGGUAAUUAAUCAGUUGUUAGUUUAGUCACUGUUAACUAUCUAGCAUUUAUAAUCACGAUUUUUAUAAUGUAAUUAUGAAUUAUGAAAUUUACUUAUUCUGAAAUAUUACCUUUUUUAAUAAAUGACCAACAUAAAUAGAAAAGCUUUAGGUUAUGUUUGGUUUCCGGAAAAUACAAAGUAAAGAAAAAAAAUACAAAGGAAAGAAAAAAAAUACAAAGGAAAAUGAUCUUUUCAUGUUUGAUUGUUCUAUGAAAAAUAUAAAAAAAAUCAAAUAUAAUUAAAAUUAAUUAAAAACUUAUGUAUUUUUAAAUUAUUUAAUCUUUAUAUUGAUGAGUUAAAAUAAAUAAAAUGAGUUUGAAGUAACAAAAAAAAAUAAUUUAUCAACUUUUAAUUAAUUUUUUUAUUUUCCUUCACUUUUUCUCUCCUUCUACUUUUCUUUUGUAUUUUCUUUCCCUUACAUUUUUCUUCAAAUUUUCUAGGAACCAAACAUAGCUUUAGUCUAGGCAAAAACCUUGGAUUUGCAAUGGCAAAACUUGUGUAUUUUAUUAUUGUUCUAUAUAUACACAAAAGGACGUUACUUUACAAAAAAGAAGAAAUACAAGAAGUAUAAAUUAGGAAAAAGAAGGAAUUAUGCUCAGAGAAGAUUCAAUCACAAAUAAAGUACACCAAAAUCAAAGAUGUACAAAAACAAAAUAUUCGAUAAUACUCUCCCUCAAGUUGAAGUAUGGAGGUACGAACACCCACUUAUGAAUGAGGGAAGGAAAAACGUUAACUCUUAAAGUCUUGAUAAAGACAUCGAUUAAUUGGUCUUUGAUUUGAAUAUAUGCAAUAUGAACUAAAUCAACUUUAAUUCUUUCGCGUAUCACAUGACAAUCAAUUUCGAUGUAUUUAGUGUGUUCACAAAAUGCUAGAUUUACAACCAUAUUGAGCUUAGGUUGUUAUUGCAAAACAUGAUAGUAGGUUGCAUAUGGGUAAUGUGUAGAUCAUGGAACAAUAAAAGAAGUCAUUGAAUUUCACAAGUUGUAACCAUGACACGAUAUUUCGGCUUUAUUAGAGGUGAUUCUUUAAAAAAUCACUUGUUUAUAUAUCAAAAAUCAAAAUGGGUGUUAUUUGUAAACACUUCUUGCUUUAUUCCUAGAUUAAAUGUAAAAAAUACACUUACCUUUAAAAAGUAAUGUAUUUUAAAAAGUAUUUAAAAAAAUUGAAAUAUUAAAAAAAAAUUACUACUUCAAAUUUUAAGAAUUUUAAAAAUACAUUUUAGAGAUAUAAAGUAAAUUGAUAGUUUUAUAUAAGAAUUAUUCUAUUUUAUAUAAAAGUUAAUAUUUAUUUCUAUUUUAAAAAAUAAAUAAUAAAAAAUAUAUCCAAACAGGCAUUAAACAAUUAUUUUUUUAAAGGUCCGGGAUGAACUGUUAAUAAAAGUAUACAAACAAUAACGUUUUAACUAAAAAUCACUCUACAACAAACUUUAAAUUAUGUAAAAUUCAGGGUUUGAUAAGUUUCCAACUCAGGGUUUAAUAAUGUGUUUGGUAAAAGGGAAAGUGGAUCUGCCCUUUUGUCCGCUUUAAGUGCAUUCAUAAACCGUGUCAAAAUGAAAGUGGGCUCUGCUUGUCCCAUUUGAUGACAACUAUUUUCUUUACAUUUUGGAGCCCAGCUGUGCCCAGCUGCUGACUGAACCUUCCUCAUCUCCUUCCAAUUCCCCCAGAACUUCUACUAUAAAACCCCACAUACCCACGCUAUUCUCUUCACUUCCAUACUCAAGCUUCUUUCCAUUUCUCGUCUCUGUAUUCGCAUUCAAUGACUUAUCCUACUACUUCAAAUCUUUCACCAAAGUUGCUCUUGCUCUCUCUUCUGCUUGGUUCCUUUGUGGUUGCUUCUGUUGGUAACUUGUACCAAGAUUUUGAUAUCACUUGGGGUGAUGGCAGAGCCAAGAUCCUCAACAAUGGACAGCUUCUUACUCUCUCUCUUGACAAAGCCUCUGGCUCUGGCUUCCGGUCCAAUAAUGAGUAUCUGUUUGGGAAGAUUGAUAUGCAGCUGAAGCUUGUGCCUGGAAACUCUGCUGGCACUGUCACUGCCUACUAUGUAAGCCUCCUCUUUACCAAGCGUUUUUCCAUCAAACGCUCUCUUGUUUUCAUCUUCUUCUGACUCACAAAUCAAUAUCCUGCUUUGUGUAAUUGCAGCUAUCGUCACAAGGGCCUACCCAUGAUGAGAUAGAUUUUGAAUUCUUGGGGAAUCUCAGUGGUGAUCCAUACAUUCUUCACACUAAUGUGUUCAGCCAAGGCAAGGGAAACAGAGAGCAGCAAUUCUACCUCUGGUUCGACCCAACUGCCGAUUUCCACACAUACUCCGUUCUCUGGAAUCCCCAGCGCAUUAUGUAAGUACUAUUAUCCUGAUCUCCAAACCUGAAAUCUGGUUUAUGUUUUUCGGGUUUCUGUAUUGAUUUACUCAUCAUGGGUAUCUCUGUUUCAGCUUCUCUGUGGAUGGCACCCCCAUCAGAGAGUUCAAAAAUUCAGAAUCCAUUGGUGUUCCAUACCCGAAAAACCAGCCCAUGAGGAUAUACUCCAGUCUAUGGAAUGCAGAUGACUGGGCAACAAGGGGUGGGCUUGUCAAGACAGACUGGAGCCAAGCACCCUUCACUGCCUCCUACAGGAACUUCAAUGCCAAUGCUUGUGUGUGGUCCUCUGGAUCAUCUUCUUGCAGUUCAACCUCUCCAUCUUCUACCUCCACCAAUGGUGGAUGGUAUUCACAGGAGCUAGAUUCCACAAGCCAAGAGAGAAUGACAUGGGUGCAGAAGAAUUACAUGAUCUACAAUUACUGCACUGACACAAAGCGAUUCCCACAGGGCCUUCCUCCUGAAUGCACAGCCACUACCAUGUCCUAGAAGGAACCGAACCUAAGCCCAUUCAAUCAAUUCUAUUCUUUAAUUCUUUAUCCUUUUAGUUGCUGUUACAACAGCAGAAACCUCAUAUUGUUUACAUUGUAAUAUACGAGUCAAUGCAGAUAAUAAAAGAUUAUUUAUGAAUGACAUGCACUGUUUUUGAACCUCAAUUUGGAUGUCAAAAACCACUAGAGAAAGAAAGGAAAUUGUUGAAAAUGACUGAAGAGAUGAACCAUUGUCAAUGCAAUUUUUAGCUUUUUUUUUCAAUUUGCUUUCCCUGUUCUUUAACUUAUGAGACACAGAUGGGGCCUUGAACCAAAUUUAAGGAGUAAAUAGUUUUUAUUUCCUUCCUUCUAAUUGUAAACAGCAAGAAAGUACAGUUAAAACCACAAAAACCAAGCACUGAGUCGCACAAGAAGCUCUAAGCAUGAUGAAGGUGGCAAACAGACCCAUGAAAAACCACCAAUUCAUGAACAAAACAGUCCCACGUCCCAUGAAUAAUCUAUUGUUAAUUUCUGUCCCACCUCCUUUGCUUGUGGAAGUCAGCAAACCUCUCUGUGGUUCUGGUGACAUGGACAUUGUUGUAUAGACUCCUCUCAAUAUCUACCCAAUUGGGAGGAGAUCGUUACAAUGAUAUCAAAGUCGAUCAUCGACCUCAAUAUGAGAGUUUGUUUGGCCUUACAAGAAGUGUCUGUCUAUUUAAUUAGAUAAUCUUAUGAAACACAAUGAGGAUGUUAUGUCUGCAUAAGGAGUAGGUGAUUGUAAUAUUCCCUAAAUACAUAUGAGUUUCUCUUUACCUUAUAGAAAUGUUUUAAAGUCGUGAGGAUUCUUUGAGUUUAAAGUUGACAAUAUCCCCUAUCAUAUGAGUUUGAUUCUCUUUGUGAUAAUAGGUAAAUUGAUUAUUAGUCACUUCUACUAUAAUAGAUAUGACACAUGAAUACUAAGUCACCUCUGAUUUUUGUAGUGUGCUUUUUUAUAAGUUUCUGCCCUGUUCACAUUAGGGAAGCUCUAGAAUAUGUGAGUAGGUAACUGGAUCUUACUAUGGGUGUUGAACUGGCAGUGACGGAUGCUUGGGCAGGUGCUGCUUGUCUUUCUCUCCUUGUUUUGGCACUUCGGAUGUUUAGAGUUGGAAAAAGUGGCUGACAGUGGGUGGAGUGAUCUAUGUAGGAAGCUCUCGUCCAGCACAUUUUUACACUACAACGUCCUUUCAAGGUUUGGUUUGGGUAAAAGGAAAUGAUUUGAAUUAAUCGAUCAGCAUCUACCAAUCAUUACAAGUUCUUAUUGAGAUGAUAUUACAGAGAAAUGAAGACAUUGUUCUCUGGUGUCUGGUGAAGAUGCUAUAAUUUUUCAAAUAAUUCAGUGAGUAGGAAGAGAAUGAUCAUUCUUUGAAAUAUGCAGCGAAAAAUACAAGAGAGGACUUAGAUUUUGUUAGCACAAGAGAUAUGGAGGAGAACUCGCCUUCUCUUUGGUCGGAAGAAGCUAUUCAUAGAGUUUUUCCAUGGGUUUCUAGUGAAAUUUCUUACUUAUUCUUAUCUCUUUCCCUUUAGUAGGAAUGACAACUUUAUAGGCUUUGUAACUAUGAUUUUUUACCAUUCUUGUUCUUGACAGAUAUGGUAUGGGGGGGCGGGGGCGGGGUGUGGUUUCUUGCUCUUAAUUCAGUUGAAAUAAUAAUAAAUAAACUGCACUUGAAGCCAUGAGAAUCACCUGCCUUUUCGGGCUGUAACUCGACUUGUACUAUCAGUGUUUGUUUAUUGUCUGAUUGAAGCACUUGCAGCUACCAACUGGCAGUGAUGAUGGCUUGGGCAGGUGCUAUUUGUCUUUCUCUCCCCUGUUUUUUGGCAUUUAGGAUCCUUCACCCUAGGAAAAAUGGCUGAUGGAAGAAGCUGUAGUCCAGCACAUUUUUACACUGAAUUGCCCCUUUGUAGUUUGUAUCUCGAGCCAAAAGCUUUACUACAGUCAAAAGGAAAUGACUGAAAUCAAGUAAUGAUCAACAUCAAUUGAUCAGGACAAGUUUUUGUUAAGCUGUUAACAACUUUGAUAUACUGGAAAGGAUUCCAAACCUGGUUGGGGGACGCGGCAGAAGUUAAAAGCAUUGAUAUUUGCUCAGUACUUUUCUAUCGGGAUACCGUGUGAUUGUGAUGAUUUUAAAAAUAUCAGUAGGAAGUCGGGUUUGGUUGUAUUGUGAGUACUGAUGAAGGAGGCCCGUUUGCAGAUGGGUUGCCACUGCCACCUGUAUACAACACAUUUUUUGGCUCUCCAACUUUGAACCUUCCCAGAAUUAACACACCCCUCUCUCUCCACCAUUAGUAUAAAUGUCGGCUGAGAGAUCAAUUUCAAUUCACUGAAAUCAAACAUCUUCUCUUCAAACACCUCUUACCAACCAUACAGCACAUCCCUCAAUGGCACCCAUCUAUUCUUCUUCUUCAGCUGUUUCUACGGCCCUGCUAAUCUCUGUAGUGGUAAGCUUCUUAAUGGCUGCCUCAGCAGGUAACUUCUACCAAGACUUUGACAUCACUUGGGGGGAUAGGCGUGCUAAGAUACUCGACAAUGGAGAGUUUCUCACUCUUUCCCUUGACACGACCUCUGGAUCUGGUUUCCAGUCCAAGAAUGAGUAUUUGUUUGGGAAGAUUGACAUGCAGCUCAAACUUGUUCCUGGAAACUCUGCUGGCACCGUCACUGCCUACUAUGUAAGCCCGCCUUUCAUAUUACUUGUUGCACAUCAUCCUCCAUUUGAUGACCAUUUGUUCUCCAGAUUAGUAUGCAGUUCUCAUUCAUGUAUGUGUGGAUUUGCAGUUAUCUUCACAAGGGCCAACCCAUGAUGAAAUCGACUUUGAAUUCCUGGGGAACCUCAGUGGGGAUCCAUAUAUCCUCCACACUAAUGUGUUCAGCCAAGGCAAGGGGAACAGAGAGCAGCAGUUCUACCUCUGGUUUGACCCCACUGCUGAUUUCCACACCUACUCCAUCCUUUGGAAUCCCCAGCGCAUAAUGUAAGUAGUAUCGUUAUCUUCAUAACUGCAACCUGGUUUAUGUUUUUGCGGUUCUUGUAUUGAUUUACUCAUCUGGGGUGUCUAUGUUUCAGCUUCUCUGUGGAUGGUACCCCCAUCAGAGAGUUCAAGAACUCUGAGUCCAUUGGUGUUCCAUUCCCAAAGAACCAGCCCAUGAGGAUAUACUCCAGCCUCUGGAACGCAGAUGACUGGGCAACAAGAGGUGGGCUGGUGAAGACAGACUGGACCCAAGCCCCCUUCACUGCUUCCUAUAGGAACUUCAAUGCAGAUGCCUGCAUUUGGUCUUCUGGAGCAUUUUCUUGCAGUUCAAAUACCCCACUUCUAUCUCCCCCAGUACUGACUGGUACUCACUUCAAAAAAUUGAAAUAAUAAAAAAAAUUAUAUAAAUCUUAACGGUUAUUUCUUUAUUCAAAUAUAUAAAAUAGGAAGCGGAUUAAAUAGACACUUAAUUUUUAAUAUUAUUAAAUAGUAUUUAGACUUAAAUUAAAUUAAAAUCUAUUUACAUUUAAGACAAAAAAAAAAUAACAAACAAACAUUACCUUGACGAAAAAACUUAGAGUCUAUUUGAUAGUAAUUUUAGGAAGCGUUUCUAAAAUUUUUAGUACUUAAAAAAUUUUAUUUUUUAAGUGUUAUAACCCAUUUGGCAAUAAUUUUAAUAAGUGUUUCGAAACUUUUUAACACUUUAAAAUUUGUAUUAUUCAAGUGUUAGAAAGGCUAAAAGCAUUUUCUUGAAUCACUACCAAUUAUGCUCUUAGAAAAGUUAAAAACGCUUAUUGGAAUCACUAUCAAACGCACUCUUAAAACAUGUUUAACAGUGUUUCUACUCAAAGUGUUUUUAGUAGAAAUGUUUUCUUUUAAAGUGUUUUAAAGAUAAUUACCAAUCAAGUGUUUUUCCAUAAAACACUACAAGUGAUUUUCCACACCAAAGUGAUUUUUUAUAUUUUUUUAAAGUGUUUCCUCAAAUUUGUCAAACACUUAGACCCCAUUUGGUAGUGAUUCUAGGAAGUGUUUUUAAUAUCUCUAAUACUUGAAAAAAUUUAUCAUUCAAAUGUUAAAAAUUCUAUAAACGCUUUCUAGAAUCACUCUUAAAGUGCAUUUGACAAUUAUUAUAGGAAGUGUUUUUGGACUUUAUAAUACUUAAAUGAUGAAAAUUUCAAAGUGUUAUAAAAGCUUAGAAACAUUUCCUAGAAUCACUACCAAACGCACUCUUAAUUGUUUUCAAAAACACUUUUUAGAUUAAAAAUGCUUCCUAAAAUCAUUGUCAAAUACAAACUCUUAAUUAUAUUUAGAGUUAACUUGAUGAUAUUUGCAAGUCCAUCAUAUAAUUUGGUCAUUAUUGGAAAGUAAAAUACUCAUAUAUGAAGAGUAACUUGAUUAUAGUUAGGAAAUGAAUUGGUUUACUUAGUUCCAAAUAUAUCCAUAUGAAUUUAAUUAUUAAAACUGAAGAUAUCAUACCUCUACAACAUGACCACAUGACCUAAAAGGUACAACUAAAACACUCCAAAGGAGGUUGGCAUGGAUGGAAGAAUUUUUAAAAUUUGGCUAGGUCAAGUUUGGUAUUGAACACUUUUAAUCUAUAAAUUAUUUCCAUAUUGUGUAGAUAUUAUCCAUUGUUUUCCACGAAAUUCCUUAUGUUAGAUCUUUGAAACCUCUCAUACAAGUUAUUCUCAUUAUUUUCCACAAGGAAUCAACUCUGGAAUUAUUUAGCAUACUUCAUGCAAAAGCUAAAAUUCUUCAUGAAAAACUGAAAUUUUAUUCCAUCAUUUGUUGGAGAUAAAGAGGGAUUUUUGCAAUUUGGUAGAUGCAGAGCGUAAUUAGAUUGAGUAGGAGGACCACUUUUUGUCAUGCAGCUUAGGGUUUAUAUAGCUAGUGUAUUCUAUCAUGAGUCAAAACUUUUCCACAGGUUGGCACAUGGGAUAACAGCCUUCGUUCAUUAGAAGCCAAUAGUUUGUAGUAUCUUCUCGUGAGGGUCAAGUCUGUUAGUUUAUCAUACUCGAGGUAGAUCGUUGCCAAGGUAUCUAUUUUUGGACGAGUCGAUUUUAGGUAGCUUCAUGGUUUUGUGUCGUUUAACUACAGAUACUCUUUACUUGAGACGGCCUUGAAAUUGGAUGCCUAAAGGGUAGUGCUUUGGGAUGGAUUCAUUCUAUCCACUUCACUUCACCUUCUCACAUAAAUAAUAUUAGAUCUAGACUCAUCAACACUCACAAUUUCAAAAUAAGACCAUAUAUUUUAGAGUAGUAACUCCUUAUAAAUACUAGGAACUCCUCCGAUCCUCUCAUCCUAUUACCAAAAAUCAAUAUUGGCCGGAUUUCACAUUUAUUUUAGCAUAUUGUGGACAAAGGUCCACUAAUAUUACGAUCAUCUUACACAUUAAGCCCCAAAGUCCAACAUAGAAAUGACAGAUAGAUACAAAUGCAGCUAGCAUUUAAAGCUAGCUACUUCAAAACUUGAAUUAAAAAGUGCAAAAAAGUAGCUAUUUUCAGUGGUGGUUCAAACUUCAGGGGCGGUGGUGGUCCUAGGUAUGGAUAAUACUUGGUGUUUGGUAGGAGGGAAAGUGGUUUCGCCCUUCUGUUUCUUUUUUCAAGUGCAUGCAUAGACCGUGUCAAAAUGAAAGUGGGUUGCGCUUGUGCCAUUAGAUGACAGCUAUUGCCUUUACAUGUUGAGCUAGCUCAACUGUGUACAGCUGCUGACUCAUCCUUCCUUCUCUCCUUCCAGGCUUCCGCUUUCCCCCUUCACCAUCUAUACUAUAAAACCCCACGUAGCCACACCAUUCUCCUCACUUCCACACUCCAAACUUCUCCCCAUUUCUCAUCUCUAUAUUCACAUUCAAUGGCUUCUACUUCUACUUCAAAUCUUUCACCAAAGUUGCUCUUGCUCUCUCUUCUGCUUGGUUCCUUUGUGGUUGCUUCUGUUGGUAACUUGUACCAAGAUUUUGAUCUCACUUGGGGUGAUGGCAGAGCCAAGAUCCUCAACAAUGGACAGCUUCUUACUCUCUCCCUUGACAAAGCCUCUGGCUCUGGCUUCCAGUCCAAGAAUGAGUAUCUGUUUGGGAAGAUUGAUAUGCAGCUGAAGCUUGUGCCUGGAAACUCUGCUGGCACUGUCACUGCCUACUAUGUAAGCCUCCUCUUUACCAAGUGUUUUUGCAUCAAAUGCUUUCUUGGUUUCAUCUUCUUCUGACUCACAAACCAAUACCCUGCUUUGUGUAAUUGCAGCUAUCUUCACAAGGGCCUACCCAUGAUGAGAUAGAUUUUGAAUUCUUGGGGAAUCUCAGUGGUGAUCCAUACAUUCUUCACACUAAUGUGUUCAGCCAAGGGAAGGGAAACAGAGAACAGCAGUUCUACCUCUGGUUUGACCCCACUGCUGAUUUCCACACCUAUUCCAUCCUCUGGAAUCCCCAGCGGAUUAUGUAAGCACUAUAGUAAUUAAUCUUCAAAACUGCAAUCUUGUUUACGUUUUUCGGGUUUUUGUAUUGAUUUACUCAUCUGGGGUAUCUCUGUUUCAGCUUCUCUGUGGAUGGCACCCCCAUCAGAGAGUUCAAGAACUCAGAGUCCAUUGGUGUUCCAUUCCCAAAGAACCAGCCCAUGAGGAUAUACUCGAGUCUCUGGAAUGCUGAUGACUGGGCAACAAGAGGUGGUCUUGUGAAGACAGACUGGACCCAAGCACCCUUCACUGCCUCCUACAGGAACUUCAAUGCCAAUGCUUGUGUGUGGUCCUCUCGAUCAUCUUCUUGCAGUUCCACCUCUCCAUCUUCUACCUCCACCAAUGGGGGAUGGUACUCACAGGAGCUAGAUUCCACAAGCCAAGAGAGAAUGAAAUGGGUGCAGAAGAAUUACAUGAUCUACAAUUACUGCACAGACACAAAGAGAUUCCCACAGGGCCUUCCCCCUGAAUGCACUGCCACCACC
rnacentral:lncRNA from 1 species